rnacentral:rRNA from 1 species
GAUGAACGCUGGCGGCGUGCCUAAUACAUGCAAGUCGAGCGAACAGACGAGGAGCUUGCUCCUCUGACGUUAGCGGCGGACGGGUGAGUAACACGUGGAUAACCUACCUAUAAGACUGGGAUAACUUCGGGAAACCGGAGCUAAUACCGGAUAACAUGUUGAACCGCAUGGUUCAACAGUGAAAGACGGUUUUGCUGUCACUUAUAGAUGGAUCCGCGUCGCAUUAGCUAGUUGGUAAGGUAACGGCUUACCAAGGCAACGAUGCGUAGCCGACCUGAGAGGGUGACCGGCCACACGGGAACGGGAACCCGGUCCAGCCCCCUAGGGGGGGCGAGAGUAGGAACUCUCCCGAAAUGGGCGAAGCCCGGACGGACCACCGCCGCGUGAGUAAAAAAGGUUUUGGGAUCUAAAACCUUUUUUAUGGGGGAAAAAAAAAUUUAUAAGUAACUAUGCACGUCUUGAGGUUCCCUAAUCGAAAGGCCACGGCAAACUACGUG